CAUUUCUUGUGGAAGAACCUUUCUCCAUGUCUUCUCUCCUUGAACUCUCUGAUAAGAAACCUAAUCCAUAUCCCUCCUUUUCCAUUUAUGCUUUUUGUAUCCACAUUUGCCUCCUCCACCGAUAUGUCUUACAAUCCUUACCAUGAACUGGUGUUCCCUUCUCCUCUCCACCCCACCACCACCAAACCAUCGCCAUUCUGAAAACCCUUGAGACCAUCGUCUCCUCUAACAUCUCCCACCGCCGUCUCCUCUAAACAGGCAUGUUUGUGAUUAAAGGUUCGAUUUUCUGUUUUUUUUUUUUUUUCCUAUUUUUACAUCAAAUUUGAAAUGGGCAUUCUAUUUUUGUUUCUGUUAUUCAUUAGAAUGUUGAUGGUAGUGUAGCAAUCGUAUCAAACAAUGGCAAUUGAAGAGGCGUCAAUGGACUAAAACAUUGGAUCUGUUAAAGCCCUACAGGUUCAGUCAAUUUGAUUUCUCUUCUUCCUUACCUCCUUACUGUUAGCCACCUCAUCGCCGCCUACAAACCCACCACUCUUUGUAGCCAAUGAUCUGAUUCAGGCCUUUAGUUCAGAUCAAGUUUAUAAAUGUAAAAAAUCAUACAGAUAAGUAUGUUCCCGUUGUCUCUUUUUGAAUCUGAGAAAUAUAAAAAGUUCCCAUUAUUGAAUGUUGGAUUUUUAUCUUAUUUAAUUUACUAACCGAUCUUGAUGUUACACUUUGUUAUUCUUUACAGAUCUAAGACUCAAAAUAAAUUUUUUUUUUAUCUUUUAACUGCUUUGGAUUUUACACAUCUAAACUUCAGUGAAUAGGGGUUAUCAUACUCCUGAACUUUGUUCUUAUAUUGUAGGUUCAAAUGAUGAUGUCUUUUGGAAUAAUUUCUAUCAGGAGCUACUAUUGUGUAUUAAGUUCAUGCAAUUUCUUUUUUUUCUCUAUGACCAUGGCUAAUUAGUACCAAAUUCACUAAUAAUUGUUUAUGAAAUCAUGAUUGUCAUUAUUAUUUAUUAAUUUGUUUAG
rnacentral:lncRNA from 1 species